AGAGUUUGAUCCUGGCUCAGGAUGAACGCUGGCGGCGUGCUUAACACAUGCAAGUCGAACGAUGAAGCCCAGCUUGCUGGGUGGAUUAGUGGCGAACGGGUGAGUAACACGUGAGCAACCUGCCCCUGACUCUGGGAUAAGCGCUGGAAACGGCGUCUAAUACUGGAUAUGUCCCGUCACCGCAUGGUGUGCGGGUGGAAAGAUUUUUCGGUUGGGGAUGGGCUCGCGGCCUAUCAGCUUGUUGGUGAGGUAAUGGCUCACCAAGGCGUCGACGGGUAGCCGGCCUGAGAGGGUGACCGGCCACACUGGGACUGAGACACGGCCCAGACUCCUACGGGAGGCAGCAGUGGGGAAUAUUGCACAAUGGGCGGAAGCCUGAUGCAGCAACGCCGCGUGAGGGAUGACGGCCUUCGGGUUGUAAACCUCUUUUAGCAGGGAAGAAGCGAGAGUGACGGUACCUGCAGAAAAAGCACCGGCUAACUACGUGCCAGCAGCCGCGGUAAUACGUAGGGUGCAAGCGUUAUCCGGAAUUAUUGGGCGUAAAGAGCUCGUAGGCGGUCUGUCGCGUCUGCUGUGAAAUCCCGAGGCUCAACCUCGGGCUUGCAGUGGGUACGGGCAGACUAGAGUGCGGUAGGGGAGAUUGGAAUUCCUGGUGUAGCGGUGGAAUGCGCAGAUAUCAGGAGGAACACCGAUGGCGAAGG
rnacentral:rRNA from 1 species